AAAUGGGGUUUCAAUGGAAUGAGAAGGUAAGUGCAAAUUUACACUUUACAAGUCAUCUCCAAACAUGCAGAAGACGAUAAAUCAUAUUUGUCGGAAGCAAAAUGUUAAAUAAGGGAAGGAGGAAAGAAGUUUCCACGUUAAAAAAGUAAGUAAAGGUUUCCCACUUUACACGACCUAUAAAAAAUUAAAAUUUGCAAUAUUCAUCAAGUUUUUUCAAUCUCAAAAGUAUCGAAUUGCAAUGGUUUAGUCCUCAAGAAUGCUCUCUGCAGAAUGCUUUCCAUCGGCAGAUCAGCUGAGAUAAUUUCGUUGCUUCCACAUUUUUAUUAAAGCAAAGGUAAAGAAACAUCUUAUCGUGUAUAAUGCAUGCAAUUAUUUGUUGUUUUUAAUGGUUUAAUUAAUCAUUAUAUUAAGUUUGGUGGGUGGUGGUCGGUAGAAAUUUAUUAUUUAUCAUAUUUUUAGUAAUUUUUAUUUUAUGUUUAGAAUUUUAGUUAUCUUUCUCUACAAUAUUAUAUAAUAAAUGGAGCUAAAUUAAGUCAACUAUUUGCUAGAUUAAUUGACUCAAACCCUCCACUUGCAGAGAAGGUUUAUGUUCAUAUAUAGACCUUCAGUUUUUGAAAAUGUUGUGGCCACUGAAGCACCUAUCAACUUGCUCUCCAGGUGGAACACUGCUGACCUUAUACAACAGCUAGGCAUAUAUAGCUACCCUUUCUUCCAUUCUUGUAACUUUAGAAAUAUUUUAUUUUAUGGCAGUUUUUUUCCAAAUACAGUUAAAAAAGGUAUCUCAAAUUUCAGUUCAACAUAAUUUUUUUUUUUGGAUUUAAACUUCUUAAUCUCUCCUUAACUCAUAAAUAGGAGGAUAAUAUGGUUUAGCGCACCCAAAUUUACAUCCUCUUGUAUUAAUAAUAAUAUUUAUAUCAAUCAAGUUAAUACUCAAUCGGCCAGUUCAACAUAAUUUUAUUUUUGAUUAAUUUUAAAUCCAUACAUUUUAGGGAUCAAAUUUAGAAGCAGUGUCAAUUGAAAUUUUGAAAUCAAGUAUUUUGUUAUUCCACCGUAGUUAAAUCAACAUGUAAUUCAUAGUUGUUUAAUUGAACUUCUGUCCUAAUCAAAUUGAUAUCACUUUAUAUUUUAUAUUAUUUUUAUUAAAACUACUCAACGAAAUUUACAUAAGUAAUCUUUAUAUAUAUAAAAUCUACUUUUACAUAUAAUUUCUCCCCGCCUUUAAAACGGAGAGAGAAAUUAUGUUUAAAUACGCUCGAACCCACAUUAAAGAGAGCAAUAAUGAGUACAUUUUUAUUUUGAAAAUGAUUGAUUAGGUAAAAAAUCUUUUACGUUGACAACUAAUUGGAGAGAGCAAUAAUGAAAAAUUCAUUAUCAAGUUGAUUUUUGCCGAUAUUGGUGCAAACAUUAGUUAGUACGAGGACAAAUAGUUAAGCAAGAGGUGGAGCCAAUUGAGGGCAGAAAGCAAGGAAGGAAAAGAGUGACAUGUUCUUGUCUCCAUUAAUAUCUGUCAAUAUGCUUAUAUAUGCCCAAUCAGUAACGGAAGAUCCGCCCCACAAGCAUGUGCGAGGAGCCAGGGACAGCUUCCAGGAAGUUUCCUCUAUCAAAUUCAAAAUGGAGUUUGUUUCAUGCGAAUUAUGGGGGCAACAGCUAGUCCUUAAUUAAUAGUGUUGCUAAAAAACAAGGUUCUUCCAAGAUUUUCAUACUCUCCAAGAUAUCAAUGUCGUGAAUUUAUUUCAUUUAUUUUUUUCCCCUUUCGUUCUUCUUUUCAGUAAGGGAAUUAUUUGUGUACCCUAAUUAUUGAUUUGGUUGCGGUGACAUCAAUGAUAGGGAAGGGUGAUGCCAAGGGCAGUUUCCAGGAAGUUUCCUCUGCAUCUUUUGAUAAGGGCAAAUCGAAAAUUUUAGCAGAUAUCUCAUUCAUAUAUAGCUUGAAGAUUUAUUUCAUCUAUACAUUUCAUCCAACUUAAAUGGUGUAGUUGAUGCUCAAGUUGGUUUAGAUUUAGAUAUGAAUGUGGAAUCAAUUAGUCUUGUUAAUUCUACUUAUUAUUAAUUGGCCACAUUAGGUUGGUUUCAGAGUUAUGCCAAUUCUUUUUAUUUUUUUUUUUAAGACUUUUGUUAUUUGUGAUUUGAUGUUGUCUUUUCUUUUAAUUUUUUAUUAUUUAUUCGAGUUUAACACUCAUAAACAAGUCAAUUUGAGUUAUUUAUUCUAAUUAUUUUAAUUUUAAGUUGGAUGGAUUUAAACUAUCGAAUUUCUGGACUUAAAAUUCUGGGUUGAAGUGAGAGUAAAUAGACAGAUUUGAAUGGGAAGCAAAAAUUAUAUGUUGCAUACAAGAGACUUGUACAAUUCCUAGUUUCUUAGUCCAUAGAAUCAAGUAAAGAAAGCAAGCGCUGUCUAGGGCUAGGCUCACUAGUAAUUUGCCGGGGACCUUUACAUGGAUGCUCUUUUCAAAAUUCGAUAACAGGAAUUAAUUUCUGUUAGUUUAUCUUUAUAUAUUAAUUUAGUUAUUUUAGUUUAUAUAUUUU
rnacentral:lncRNA from 1 species